UGGGAUUAGAUACCCCACUAUAAGGAGNUAAAAUAAGUAANNGAAGCACUAAAACCAGCAGGUUAAAANNUAAAGAGCAUGGNGGNGAAUNUAAUUUAUCAGGGGAAUUUACCGGAUAAUUGACAACCCACAAGGGGCCCCUCUUACUCUUAAAGUUUGUAUGCCGCCGUCUUCAGAUAACACCUUAGGUUUUAUCUAGCCUCCUCCCCGGGACAAGACAGGUCAUGGUGCAGCCUAUGAGUAAGUGCUAGGUGAGUUACAGUAGGGUUUACCUUCCGCGGGGGGCUUUAAAUUGCCCCUAAAAGAUGGACUUGAAAGUAAAACAUAAGUUGUACUAUUUUUUGAAUAUCAAUUGGAUGCGUGCACACNCCGC
rnacentral:rRNA from 1 species